UGCGCUCAUUUGAAGUUAACAUGGGCGUGUUGAAUGGAUUUUUGCGUGUGUAAACUUUUGCAAUUGUCCCGUGAAGUAAAAAGAUGACAUUAAACGUGACUGACAACAUGGUGAAAUGUCACUCUUAACAAACGGGGCGGAUUAACGUUACACGGCGUUUCUGGUCUCGUGAAGGCGCUUCGAAAGAGAAGUUCUUCAUUCCGAACGAAAAUGAACAACUGAAUCGUUUCACAACUUCAAGGCCAUUCAAAGCGUCUUAGUCAGUUCCCUAGGUAGUGAAUCAGUAGAUAGUGCAAACGAGUCACUGCACUGGGAAAGACCUUGGCUUAGUAAACACUGGGACAACUGAUCAAUCAAUUUGUAAAACGUCACCAUUAGUAUUUAUCAACAACAGGCAGGACCGUUAUAUUUUGAUAUUAUUUUUAUGCUAUUUAAGGUAACUUAGCCCUAUAAUAUGAAAUGUACAUGUUCUAUCACAAAUCCAGUCAGCAUCAAUGCUCCCUGUUGUGCAAUGGAUUGUGGAAUGGAUUUGUGCCAAAAAAAAGGGUUGCAACUUCUGUUUCAUCACAAAUUUAAUUAACUGAUAUUGAUACAUUGUAAAUGAUUUUUAAAAAAGGCAUCAUUUCAUUUUUUUAACUUAAAGUGUAUACUUUUCUUUCUCCAUCAGGGUGUGGUCAAAGGUUUCAUUGGUGCUUUGUCAUCGUUGGAAGAUUUCAGAUACAACCCAGUCAGUUCUUCCAAUGCACCAAACACUGGCUCGUGACCAGACCGCUCCACUGCAAAUACAUACUGUGUGUAUCUUCAAGACUAGGAGUUUAUUGUUUUCAUUGUAUUCCAGGUCACCAUAGCCACCCAGAUCCAGUCCGUAUCAAGAUCAGAUGGUGGAUCAGCACCUAGAGAUGACCUCGACAGCCCUGAAUGUCAGCGGAGACCAGGACACCUAGAUGAGCCCCAGAGACAGAUCCCCUCCGAAGACCUCGUUGGGACAAGACCACAAGAACCAGACAAGUCCUCUGCUCAAUCUGACCUGUGUUGCAGCCUAGAAUUAAACCACACCAUGCUGGUUUCGUCUGUCCAGAGGAGAACUGCCCCCAAACUGUGCCUGGUUGCACCCAAGGUUCUGUCACCAAUGAAGUUUUGGGUCCUUGCCGCUGUCGCCUUUGGCUUGCUUAUUUGGGGACGCUUGGCUGAUUGCAAAGACAUUAUUGGAAGAGAACUAAACUGGAUGAUGUCAACACUGAAUCACCAAUGAACUGACUUUAACUGGAAAAAUUACUCUUGCAUUAUUGACAAACUAUUUUCCUGUUUGACUCUGUAAAGCUGCUUUGACACAUUCAGUAUUGUAUA